CCUUGUACACACCGCCCGUCAAGCCACCUGAAUCAGAAGUACCCUAAGUCGUCGAUCUAACCCGCAAGGGAGGAAGACGCCCAAGGUAAAGCUGGUGAGGAGGGCU
rnacentral:rRNA from 1 species